GAUGAACGCUGGCGGCGUGCUUAACACAUGCAAGUCGAACGGGAUCCAUCAAGCUUGCUUGGUGGUGAGAGUGGCGAACGGGUGAGUAAUGUGUGACCGACCUGCCCCAUGCACCGGAAUAGCUCCUGGAAACGGGUGGUAAUGCCGGAUGCUCCAUCACACCGCAUGGUGUGUUGGGAAAGCCUUUGCGGCAUGGGAUGGGGUCGCGUCCUAUCAGCUUGAUGGCGGGGUAACGGCCCACCAUGGCUUCGACGGGUAGCCGGCCUGAGAGGGAGACGGGCCGCAUGGGGACUGAGAUACGGCCCAGACUCCUACGGGAGGCAGCAGUGGGGAAUAUUGCACAAUGGGCGCAAGCCUGAUGCAGCGACGCCGCGUGAGGGAUGGAGGCCUUCGGGUUGUAAACCUCUUUUGUUAGGGAGCAAGGCAUUUUGUGUUGAGUGUACCUUUCGAAUAAGCACCGGCUAACUACGUGCCAGCAGCCGCCGCAG
rnacentral:rRNA from 1 species